GAUGAGCGAUGGCAGGAAAUUCGCGUUUCAUUCCAGUGACGAGUUCAGACUGCCCUCUCAUUCCUGUUAUGGCAGAUGCAAGCACCCAGGAGGACCACAAAGACCAGGGAGAGCUUGCAGCUCCUUGUAUGGAGGAGAGACGCUCUUUUUUGGCAAAUAAAGAUGUUUCCACUGCUGUUCAGUCAUCAGGAUCACCAGACAGAGGAAGCUGGAUAUAGCCCCUGCGUCACCUGAAAUCCAAGAGCACCCAUCCGGCACGUGGCACAGGACGUUCCCAGGAGCUGCAGACUGGUGUCUUGUUUUUAAUGGGUAUGUUUCCUCUGAGUGUUUUGGAGCAGCGAAAGGAUAAAAGCUUAUGGUUUUAAAAGGUAUCACUGCUUCAAAUGGCAGUAGCAUACGUGGCCUUUCCCUGAAUAAUGCCAGUGAAGGACUUCACUACUUCCUUUGCCCUUUAUCCAUAAAACAGCUGCUUUGUUUCCACUGCUCCCCUCUUUUGCUGCUGGUGGAACUGGGAAAAAGCAUUUUUACCCAUGAGAAGGACAUGUCAUAGAUGUGGAGACAGCCACAAAGAGCUGUGCGUGGAGAGAGGUUAAGUGGGAUGCAGUAAAGACUUAAAUCCCAAUAGUCUGCUCAAAAGCAACCCCUUUCCCCAGCACCUAGUGGCAGUCUUUUAGUCACCCCACCCUUUUGUUCUUCAGGAUACAAAUAACCUGGAACUACCAACAUCCCCACCACAGCAGCACCUAGCUGCACACACUACCCAGGGAGGAACAGUGCAUGAAGAGAUGCUGGUUAAAUAGGCUAUUACUUCAUGCAGCAAAUUCCAGGAAAAUGCGUUAUUUAGAUUACAAGCACUCAGAGUGGGAACUGCGAGUACAGCACUUGAGAUAAGGAGGAGACCAGAUAGAUUUAAAUAGCACAUCCUGGUAUGACUUAUUAUGUAAUUAUCUGCUCCCCAUCACCCCGAGGUCUGCGUGUCUCAGGCAGCUAAAAAUAGAGCUGCUUCCCUCUGCUCUGCCGUCCUCUCCUUGCAGCCCCUGGGGGAAAAGACUCGACUCAGCCCCUUGUGUUUGGGUGGGUCCUGUGAGCAGCAGCAGCCAGGGGAAGCAG
rnacentral:lncRNA from 1 species